CGUAGGUGGCAAGCGUUUGUCCGGAAUUAUUGGGCGUAAAGCGCGCGCAGGCGGCUUCUUAAGUCCAUCUUAAAAGUGCGGGGCUUAACCCCGUGAUGGGAUGGAAACUGAGAGGCUGGAGUAUCGGAGAGGAAAGUGGAAUUCCUAGUGUAGCGGUGAAAUGCGUAGAGAUUAGGAAGAACACCGGUGGCGAAGGCGACUUUCUGGACGACAACUGACGCUGAGGCGCGAAAGCGUGGGGAGCAAA
rnacentral:rRNA from 1 species